rnacentral:lncRNA from 1 species
CCUCGGGCCAUUCCUAACUCAUGCCAUAGCUGCCUCGUUGUGUCUCUCUGAAGAUUAAUGGGUAGCACCAUGUCUGGCACAUAAUAAGCACUCAAAAAACAUGAACUGUUAUUGUUAUUUUUUCUCCCCAAAUACUAUCAUAACUUACGUAUUAUUUUGUAAUCUGGUUUUUAAAUUUAGAAGUAUAUCAUGAACACUGCUUCUGAUCCUGGGGUUCUUUCUUCAGAGGAAUGGAUCUUGCUCAGUAGUGGAUGUAAAUCAGGUUGACCCCCCCCCCCCCAGGAAACAACUAGCUGGUCUCUAAUGAAGUGCCCAGGCAAUUCUGGGGUACAUUUUUCUUGGGACUGAUUCGGGAAGUGGCCAGUGAGGAGAAGGCACAAGGUCUCAGGAGAAAUAAACAGAAGCGUGAUACUUUUGAGGCCUGCAGUUCGAACCCUUCAAAUUCAGCCUGGGCAGGUGACACCUGUUCUUUCAUCUCCUUUGCAGACGUGAAGAAAACCUUUGGUUUGAAGAGAUAAAAGAGAGUAGUUUCAUUCAGGUCACGAAGGAGGGCAACACAGUGUAUUUACAGGCCUGCAAGGCCUGUGACUCUCCAGUGGGAGGUCGGAGCUCCCAGAACUUGCUGCUGCCAGGAGAGCUCUGUGGGUAUAAAGGCAGCACGGACUCUCAGGUAUCCACCCCCUUGAAUGAUUUUUAAACAAGCU